rnacentral:rRNA from 1 species
AGUGAACGCUGGCGGUAGGCCUAACACAUGCAAGUCGAACGGCAGCACAGUAAGAGCUUGCUCUUACGGGUGGCGAGUGGCGGACGUGUGAGGAAUACAUCGUAAUCUACUUUUUCGUGGGGGAUAACGUAGGGAAACUUACGCUAAUACCGCAUACGACCUACGGGUGAAAGCAGGGGAUCUUCGGACCUUGCGCGAUUGAAUGAGCCGAUGUCGGAUUAGCUAGUUGGCUGGGUAAAGGCCCACCAAGGCGACGAUCCGUAGCUGGUCUGAGAGGAUGAUCAGCCACACUGGAACUGAGACACGGUCCAGACUCCUAAGGGAGGCAGCAGUGGGGAAUAUUGGACAAUGGGCGCAAGCAUGAUCCAGCCAUACCGCGUGGGUGAAGAAGGCCUUCGGGUUGUAAAGCCCUUUUGUUGGGAAAGAAAAGCAGCAGGUUAAUACCCCGCUGUUCUGACGGUACCCAAAGAAUAAGCACCGGCUAACUUCGUG